AACUUAGGAUAACAUAAACCAAGAACCUUCAAAGUUCAGAACAAGGGUGUAAACCC
rnacentral:tRNA from 1 species